rnacentral:rRNA from 1 species
UGAGGGAAAGCUGCAAAGUACUCUGAAGAGAGAGUUCAAAAGGACGUGAAGCCGUCUGCAGGGAAACGGGUGAGACCGCACGGUAGACCCGCGGCGGAUUCAGCCCCGGGGGCAACCUCGGGGUGCACUUCCGCGCCUGCGGGUCGCGCAGGGCCCGACUCUGCGGCCGUCUGAAGCCCGGCGAGGAGGUGACGGGGUUCUUCGGGACUCCGAGUUUAACUCGUCGGCGCGGAGACCGGCUGCGGGGUCGAGGAACGUCCAUCCGUCUUUUGRCGCGUUUUUGGGGGUCGUCUCGCCGGUUCGACUGGGUUGGAGCCCGUCUUUGAUGGGCUGCUCUCGACUGCCGGUGGGUUCCUCCUCUAUUUUCGCCGGAUGACUAGGACACCUGUGCUCAGGUCGGCACCUCACCCGACCC